GCUCUCCCCCGCCGCUCGGCUGCCGCCAUCUUGGGGGCCGGUAGCGGUCGGGUCGCCUUCCCGCCUUUCCCCCGCUCGGGCUACUUUGUCGCCUCCGGCUUACGGGAAAGUGUCCGGCAGGAGAGAGUGCGGGCGGGAGAUCCGAGCUCUCCGGUAGGGAUGAGGGUGGGGAGCUCAGCGAGCCGGGAAAGCGGGACGCGCUCCGGGUGGAAAUGGCGCUCGGCGGGCCCGGCCACCCACCGGGGCCUCCGGUGCUCUCGAAGGGACUACCUGGGGCCGGCGGGGCUGCGAGGGGCUGCUGACGCAGACUCCAGGGUUGAGACAGGGGGAGCUGGGGGCGGGGGAAGGAGAAGCCAGUGACGACGAGGGCGCUCCGAUGCCAGAUGCAGGACAAAGGCGGCCGCGGUCCUCCUUUGUAAUUCCGCCGCUCGGUUGCGAUGGCCUUGGCCGGGGGCCGGAGGCGGACUGUCCCCUAUCUCCCGGGUCUCUAGGGCGAGCUGGGCAAACGGAAAAUCUCCGGGAGGAGGCAAAGGACGCUUAGCCGACCUUUUAGUCCCUAUUUGGAACUGCGGAGAGAGUCCGUUGCGCAUCUCCAAAGAAUUACCACCCACCUACCCCAUGUCCCCCUCUUAGGUGUCGACCAAGACUUUUCAUUUUGGAAGAGAAGUGCAUGGCUUUUCUAAUAGGAAUAGUGCAAAGUGGGUGUGUUUCAAACAGGUCCGGGCCAGGUGAACUGCGAAGGUGCUGCGUUUAGGCAAGGGUGGAGAGUUAAGUUGUGUUUGGGGUAGUUAACUCUCCAGGAGUUGUGUUUUGUGUCGUUUUGUAAUUAAGGCCGAAAGCCCAGUGCAUUUCGUUUCAUUUGAUGGCUGAGCAUGUUUAAAACUUGUAUCGAACUGUGGUGUUUUGAAGCCGAAAUAGGUCUCUUAAAGUGGAAGCCGAAUCGCGUACCUAGUUGACGCGUUUUGGGUCCUUAAAUUGGAAGCCGAAUCGCGUACCUAGUUGACGCGUUUUGGGUCCUUAAAUUGGAACUGUCAUUAAUUUUCAUUGAAAAUGGGUUAAAAAGG
rnacentral:lncRNA from 1 species